UUAUUCUUCUCGCCUGGGUGUCUUGCGUGUGGCUCAGCUUGUCAGGGUCAUCUUCAAGCUAGUGGCUCACCCGAGAUCCACUCAAUAAUUCUCACUGCUUCGUCCACCUCUCCCCUCGCCAUGUGUGCUCUCUGGUGCCGAGUGGUUGGCCACUUGAUGGGACCCGCUAGACAAUUUUUCCUCUCUCAAUCUCGCACAUGGAGUAAACAUCGGGUUGUUGUAACAGCCCGGAAAUCUCGCCUAUCAAACACCCUGGAGCUCGGACUCUGCGGGCAUAAACCACAUCCGCGCAUGCCGCCACCGCCUGUGUAUAUAUGGUCGCGGACUCGUGCUCCCUCAAUCGUCCCUAUCGACGACCGUACACCGACGUAGAAACCGCACUGCACAAGGUGUGUGCCGCCGCCGUCGGCCCCCUGUUUUUGGCACCACGUGGAGACUUAGUGCUGACAGGGUGGUUCGUCGCGGUCUCGGGAUUCUGCGUGGGGGAUCCUUGGACGAAAUAGACCACCGAGCUCACCGGAAUUCCUCGCCGUCGCCAUAAACUCGUGCUGCGCUGUGGCCAGGCGUUCCUGUGACCCAAUAGCUGCGUGAGGUCACGAGUCACCUGAA
rnacentral:lncRNA from 7 species